AAAUUGGCAGAGCUUCCUCUU
rnacentral:miRNA from 1 species